GUUAUCAGUGACCAGAAGAUCCGGAUGCCUGGGAGGUGAACAAGCCUUCAGCUGCCUUUGCUAUGGGAAUACAGUUUCCAGUCACUCAGCCUCUGAAGAAGCUUCGGGUUCAGACUCAGGCAGUCAGUCGGAAAGUGAGCAGGGAA
rnacentral:sRNA from 1 species